UCCGUGAACACCACGGUCUUGAGGCCGUUGAGGAUCACGCGGUCCUCAAGGUGAUAGCGGAUCGCGCGGGCGAGCACGCGGCGCUCGAUGUCCGCGCCCUUGCGAACGAGGUCUUCCGGCGCGUCGCGGUGGCUGAUGCGCUCGAUGUCCUGCUCGAUGAUCGGUCCUUCAUCCAGCGCGCUGGUGACGUAAUGCGCGGUCGCGCCGAUCAGUUUCACGCCGCGCUCAUGCGCCUGAUGGUAGGGCUUGGCGCCCU
rnacentral:misc_RNA from 1 species